UGUCAUUGGUGCCUGCCCCUUGUGACCCUAGGCUCUAAAAUCCCAUGAAAACAGAUGCCAUUCAGAUGGGUUCUAUGUGCUCCAUGCAUGUUCAACAGGGAAUACACCAGGGAGCUGGAGGAUGCAACUAUGGCAUGUCUGCAGCUCCAAAUGUCUGAGGUGCCAGCUGAGAGAUGGAAACAUCAGACCCAGAGCAAUACAAGGGCAUUUACACCAUACUCCACCCAGAAGAGUGGAAAAGCCAGUGACUGAAACAGACCCAAGUGAGAUUAGCAAGCAGUGAAAAAUUAGACAAACAAAGGAGGUGAGUCACCUGUCACCUGUAACAAAACUUCUCAGCCUAUCAUUCCUAGAUUCUUC
rnacentral:lncRNA from 1 species